UACGUAGGCAGCGAGCGUUGUUCGGAGUUACUGGGCGUAAAGAGUGCGUAGGCGGUUUUCUAAGUUUGGUGUGAAAUCUCCCGGCUUAACUGGGAGGGUGCGCCGAAAACUGGAAGGCUUGAGUAUGGGAGAGGUAAGCGGAAUUCCUGGUGUAGCGGUGAAAUGCGUAGAUAUCAGGAGGAACACCUGCGGUGUAGACGGCUUACUGGACCAUAACUGACGCUGAGGCACGAAAGCG
rnacentral:rRNA from 1 species